rnacentral:rRNA from 1 species
CGGACGGGUGAGUAACACGUGGAUAACCUACCUAUAAGACUGGGAUAACUUCGGGAAACCGGAGCUAAUACCGGAUAAUAUAUUGAACCGCAUGGUUCAAUAGUGAAAGACGGUUUUGCUGUCACUUAUAGAUGGAUCCGCGCCGCAUUAGCUAGUUGGUAAGGUAACGGCUUACCAAGGCAACGAUGCGUAGCCGACCUGAGAGGGUGAUCGGCCACACUGGAACUGAGACACGGUCCAGACUCCUACGGGAGGCAGCAGNA